AUGAAGAUCAAGGAUGCCAAGAAACCAUCUUUUCCAUGGUUUGGCAUGGACAUUGGGGGAACACUGGUGAAACUUGCAUAUUUCGAACCUAUUGAUAUCACUGCAGAAGAGGAGCAGGAGGAAGUUGAAAGCUUGAAGAGCAUCCGCAAAUAUUUGACUUCCAAUAUAGCCUAUGGAUCCACUGGCAUUCGAGAUGUCCACCUUGAACUGAAAGACUUGACGCUUUUUGGCCGAAGGGGAAACUUGCACUUUAUUCGAUUCCCAACUCAUGACUUGCCUACUUUUAUCCAAAUGGGAAGAAAUAAAAACUUUUCAACACUACACACGGUGCUUUGUGCCACUGGAGGCGGUGCUUAUAAGUUUGAAGAAGAUUUUCGCACAAUUGGAAACCUCCAGUUGCACAAACUGGAUGAGCUUGACUGCCUUGUCAAAGGCCUGUUGUAUAUAGACUCUGUCAGUUUCAAUGGCCAGGCAGAGUGCUAUUACUUUGAAAAUGCCUCAGAACCGGAAAGAUGCCAAAAGAUGCCUUUUAACCUGGAUGACCCAUACCCAUUAUUGGUUGUAAACAUUGGUUCAGGAGUCAGUAUUUUAGCAGUCCAUUCCAAAGACAGCUAUAAGAGAGUGACUGGAACAAGUUUAGGUGGAGGGACAUUUCUGGGUUUAUGCAGUUUAUUGACUGGCUGUGAAAGUUUUGAAGAAGCUCUUGAAAUGGCAUCCAAAGGGGACAGUACACAUGCUGAUAAGCUUGUCCGGGACAUUUAUGGAGGGGACUAUGAACGUUUUGCCUUGCCAGGAUGGGCAGUAGCCUCUAGUUUUGGGAAUAUGAUCUACAAAGAGAAGAGAGAAUCUGUUAGUAAAGAAGACCUGGCUAGAGCUACACUGGUCACGAUCACCAAUAAUAUUGGGUCUAUAGCACGGAUGUGUGCGGUAAAUGAGAAAAUAAGCAGAGUUGUCUUUGUUGGUAACUUUUUGCGUGUGAACACUUUGUCAAUGAAGCUUCUUGCAUAUGCACUGGAUUACUGGUCAAAAGGCCAGCUGAAGGCCUUGUUCCUAGAACAUGAGGGAUACUUUGGUGCUGUUGGUGCUCUUCUUGGAUUGCCGAAUUUCAGCUGA
rnacentral:lncRNA from 1 species